rnacentral:lncRNA from 1 species
CACUAGAUCCGGGUGUAGGAUCUUUCACUCAAGCAUGGAAUACCCAAACAAUCCCUUAAAAGUAAAUCAGCUGAAGGAACAAUUCGAAAACAUAAAUGACCUUUUUUUUUCUUUUUUUUAUUUUUAUUUUUUUUUAUUUUUUAUUUUUUAAAAAGGUAACCUCUCUUUUUUAGCUCCCCAACAGAGUCGCCAGUUCUGUCAUACGGUGAACUGACUUUUGUGUUUUGCUUUGAAAAGCAAUGUCGCGGAUAGCAAGAGUCGCCACCGACUUUUCUUUUAUCCAAU